rnacentral:rRNA from 1 species
UACGUAGGGGGCGAGCGUUGCCCGGAUUCAUUGGGCGUAAAGGGCGCGUAGGCGGUCACGGUGCGUCCCGCGUGAAAUCUCCCGGCUCACCUGGGGGGGGUCGCGGGAAACGACCGGACUGGAGCACGGUAGGGGGCCAUGGAAUUCCCGGUGUAGUGGUGGAAUGCGUAGAGAUCCGGAGGAACGCCAGAGACGAAGGUGGCUCGCUGGCUCUGACCUGACACUGAGGCGCGAAAGCGUGGGGAGCGAACCGG